rnacentral:rRNA from 1 species
AUACGUAGGUGGCGAGCGUUGUCCGGAAUUACUGGGUGUAAAGGGCGUGUAGGCGGGGAGACAAGUCAGAUGUGAAAGCCCAGAGCUCAACUCUGGGACUGCAUCUGAAACUGUUUUUCUUGAGUGCUGGAGAGGAAAGCGGAAUUCCUAGUGUAGCGGUGAAAUGCGUAGAUAUUAGGAGGAACACCAGUGGCGAAGGCGGCUGUCUGGACAGUAACUGACGCUGAGGCGCGAAAGCGUGGGGAGCAAACAGGAUUAGAUACCCUGGUAGUCCAGGCUGUAAACGAUGGAUACUAGGUGUAGGAGGUAUCGACCCCUUCUGUGCCGGAGUUAACACAAUAAGUAUCCCACCUGGGGAGUACGGCCGCAAGGUUGA